rnacentral:rRNA from 1 species
UGGGGAAUAUUGGACAAUGGGCGAAAGCCUGAUCCAGCCAUGCCGCGUGUGUGAAGAAGGUCUUCGGAUUGUAAAGCACUUUAAGUUGGGAGGAAGGGCAGUAAGCGAAUACCUUGCUGUUUUGACGUUACCGACAGAAUAAGCACCGGCUAACUCUGUGCCAGCAGCCGCGGUAAUACAGAGGGUGCAAGCGUUACUCGGAAUUACUGGGGGUAAAGCGCGCGUAGGUGGUUCGUUAAGUUGAAUGUUAAAGCCCCGGGCGCAAACUGGGAACUGCAUCCAAAACUGGCGGGCUAGAGUAGGGCAGAGGGUGGUGGAAUUUCCUGUGUAGCGGUGAAAUGCGUAGAUAUAGGAAGGAACACCAGUGGCGAAGGCGACCACCUGGGGUCAUACUGUCACUGAGGUGCGAAAGCGUGGGGAGCAAACAGG